UAGUCCACGCCGUAAACGAUGAACACUAGGCGGUUGCUCUUUCGGGGUGGCCGUUGUAGAGAAAUUACUAAGUGUUCCGCCUGGGGAGUACGUUCGCAAGGAUGAAACUCAAAGAAAUUGACGGGGGCUCACACAAGCGGUGGAGGAUGUGGUUUAAUUCGAAGCAACGCGAAGAACCUUACCAGGCCUUGACAUAGUAGGAUUAAUUCUGUGAAAGCAGAAGGAUUGCUCGCAAGAGUGUAACUAUUACAGGUGCUGCAUGGCUGUCGUCAGCUCGUGCCGUGAGGUGUUAGGUUAAGUCCUUUAACGAGCGAAACCCCUAUGUUUAGUUGCCAGCGGGUCAUGCCGGGGACUCUAGACAGACUGCCGCGUAUAAGUUGGAGGAAGGUGGGGACGACGUCAAGUCAUCAUGGCCCUUAUGGGCCUGGGGCUACACACGUCCUACAAUGGCGAAUACAGAGGGUUGCCAACCAGCAAUGGGUGCGCUAAUCCCUUAAAGCU
rnacentral:rRNA from 1 species